UACGUAGGGUGCAAGCGUUAAUCGGAAUUACUGGGCGUAAAGCGUGCGCAGGCGGUUUUGUAAGACAGGUGUGAAAUCCCCGGGCUUAACCUGGGAACUGCAUUUGUGACUGCAAGGCUGGAGUGCGGCAGAGGGGGAUGGAAUUCCGCGUGUAGCAGUGAAAUGCGUAGAUAUGCGGAGGAACACCGAUGGCGAAGGCAAUCCCCCUGGGCCUGCACUGACGCUCAUGCACGAAAGCGUGGGGAGCAAACAGG
rnacentral:rRNA from 1 species